GUUUCGCUCACGGCUGCAGCAAUUGUGGCUCUGGCGAGCUCAACGUUGAACUGGCACUAUCAUUGGCGUUUUAACUGUGGACGGUUGCUACUCGUACUCGCUGGCGGAUUAACGGCACAUAGAUAUAUAUAUUUUUGUUAAAAAUAUAUAUAUGUAUAUGCACUCAUAUAUAUAAAGAGAGUUAUGUGCAUGUCUGCGUAGAGAAGAAGAAGAGGAAGCUGAAAAGCAGCGUUCAAGAGAAUCCAUCUGUAUGUGUGUUGCUGUUGGUGCGCCGUUGCGGAAAAUACAACAAAUUUUCAUGUAUUUACACAAAACGUUGGUUACAUAAAAAAAUCAAAAAGCUUAAAAAUAUUAAAAGAAUUCAAUUCUCGAGUAACCAAAUAAAUUUAGCGCAAAUCUUAACACAAUACUGCUACGAACAUUCAGACAAAAACCCCAUUUAAAAAUGUUGUACCAACGCAGUUGAUUAAGACAAAUAUACAAAAAAAAAACAAAAAUAUAACAAAAAAAAACCAAAUAUAACAUAAAUAAUUAAUAUCUUAAUAAUAUUCAUAACGUUUAACCUAAGCAUUAAGAACAAAAACCUAAAAAUAAAACAAAUAGUUUAAAACUAGCCUAAUACAAACAGACAGACACCCUCCUUAGACCUGGUGCAAACGUAUCGCAAACCGUACUUAAAGCCAACAGCAAGCUAAACCGAGAAUCAAACCAAACUAAACCAAAAACCAA